GGAGUUUUAGCUCAGUUGGUUCAGAGCAGUCGCCUUACAAGCGAUCGGUCGGAGGUUCGAAUACCUCCAAACUCCACCA
rnacentral:tRNA from 1 species